rnacentral:rRNA from 1 species
AUGAUAUGCUUCUUCGCAGUCGAGUGGCACUUUGUAGACCGUGUGGCAAGACAAUUUGGAAAAAGACAAGGUAUUCCAAUUGAGGAGAGCAAGGAGGAAAUGCUAUCUCUGCAUCGGUUCGAUCGAAGGAACAAUCAGGAUAUAUCGGAUUGGGCAAACAAACACCGUGCGUGGAUAGAAAUUUGGAAUCAAAGAGACACGUUAGUGCAAUCAGAGAAUAGACCUCAGAAUCAGUCAGCAUAUCAGAAGUAUCAAGUGUGGUAUGCGGAUCGUUACCGGUUAAAGCUGAAGCCAGGUUGGACUCACGAGGAGUGGUCGGAGUUGGUGUCUGAAGACCCGGAGACUGCAGAAGGUUAUCAUACCUUCAACACGGCUGUGAGAGACACCAGAGGGGCUCAUGUUGACUACGCACCGAUGCAUGACGAAAUGGUAGUCUGUUUGACCUAUUCUAACAUACUUGCAUCAUGUUGUCUUCUUUCAAAUACAUAA